CCUAGAAAACCCCAACACGAAAAAACAAAGGUUUAGAAAGAGAGAGCAUCAGAUAGGAACUCCCCAUUUGCAGACAGCAACUGAUUGAUAGCCUCAUCUCUCCUGUUAGUAGAGGAUUUAAAGUAGAAUUUGUUGUUGAAACAACUCUGUGGUAGUAGGGUCCCUGGUCUGGCGAUCCAAGCCGUUGAUCCGAACGGCCCUGCAGUGGAUGGAUUGCCCCAGAAAUCAAUCUUCCAGAUUGGAGAUUCUAAUGAAUAUUUCUGGGGCCUACCAUGGGGCCCACCAGAUCUGCUUUGGAUUACUGAACCAUGGUGGUUCGAGUCGACUCGGGAAUCAUUCCCUCAUUGAGUCUAUGGACAAGUGAUGGAGCAUAGCAUAAUGCAGACAGAGUACUCUGACAUUGACAUGUGGUCCAGUUGACGGGUUCAUGUCUCCAACUAUGAUUUGUGGGCCAUGAUCAUUGUUCAGUUGAGAUUGCUGAACGGAUGUUCGGUACUUACCGUAAUUAGAUGGGUUGUUGAUCAUGUCGGCGAAGACACGAUAGACGUCUUGGUAGACGAAGUAAGAGCCAGGGAGGGUGGUACCCAGUGUGGCGGUGAGCUGCACGAGCCGUUCGUUGAAUGCGCCGACCAGGUUGUUAACUCGCUCGACGCAACCAUUGCUCCCAUUGACCAUGGAUAGCUGACUCGGUAUGCAUCCAAGCGGGCCGAGUCCAACCAGCACCAUUUUCCUUGCUCCCAGACCAUAUAGUCUCUGCAGAGAAAACCCGUUAGAUCCAUAAAUAUUAUGAAUCUAAAACAAUCAUUAAUUGUUCAUAUAGAGGAAAAUACUACAUUCAUUUUA